GACCUAGGGGUGUAAGGCUGCACACUUGCUCCUUAUAACUGAGAAAUUAUUAGGGUAAGGCACGAGGUCCCGGUUCGAAUCCGGGUUAGGUCA